CUGUUCACAGAUGUGCUUGUUAUGCUUGAUCAUCUGUUGAUGUGCAGUUGUUAAAACACAUAAUUUCUGUUUUGCUCCCCAGGGGAAAAUGUCAAAGAAUUCUUUUCCCGAGUUGCUGCCUUGGCCUUUGAACAGUCCAUGAUAAAAGAGCUGGAGAACACUCCUGGGCACAUGGCCCAAAUUGGGGCAGGAAAUCUCAUCAACCUGGAGAACAUUAUGGAAAUCCCAGAAGGCAACGCUCAAGUCAGCCCGAGUUGCUGCUAAUUGUCAACUGUUCCUUCAGGCCCCGCGCUUCUCUGCGCACAGAGCAGAGCACCUGCAGCAGUGCAAGCUCUCAGGCCAGAAACAGAGAGCUUUAAUUUGGGAAACAAGGGAGGAAAAACUUAGCCAAACUUCCCUUCUGAGAGUUCCCUUGCUGCUGCAGGCUCCUUGUGCAGGGUGGUACAAUUGUUACAUAAACCUUCCUCUGGGUAGUUGAAACACAACAUCCUUAAUGCAAGGAGACAUUGCCAGUGCCAUGUGCUCACCUGUCUGCCAGAAAUGCUUGUAGUCAAAAAUGAUGUCAUUUUAGUGUGUUGUUCUUUGAUAAUUCUCUAGAAAUCUUAGAUAGUGAGGUUGCAUUCCCAUGGGGGCAGGAAACAAGUGGCAGUUCAGAGUAAAGGGUGCUAUCCAUAAGUUUUUCCCUUUUAAAGUCAUAGCAUAAAAUAACUCUGAUCUGCUUUUGUGCAUUCCAAGUAUUUUGGAACUAUUCCAGUAAAAAUCUUUUUAAGUAUCAGGUAUGGAUACACAAAUGCAGACUGCAUAGUUUCCACUGUGGUUUCUCCAUCCAGGAAAAAAUCUGUAUUAUUUUUCAUUUUCCACUUGAGAAUCAGAGCCCAGUAUUUAAGUAUUUCCAAGCCUAGAAGUCCAGGUAGGAACUUUGUUGUUUUAUCCCAUCUGUCUAAUAUUUUGAAAAUGUUACCAGAUAAGAAUGCUAUUCUUUUCCACUCACUUGAAUAAGAAAGAA
rnacentral:lncRNA from 1 species